GAAAACCCACUGAACUGAAGCAUCUCAAUAAGUGGAGGAAAAUAAACUAACUAGGAUACUCUUAGUAAGUGCGACCGAAGAGAGUAAAGCUCAAUAAUCUAAACUUUAAAUUUUUAUAAUUUAAAGUCAUGUGAUUUUCUAAACUCAUUGAAAUUUUUAUAAAUUAUGAUUGAAUUCAUAACUAUAAAGAGUUAUAGUCUCGUUAUUUAAAAUUUCAAGCAUGGGAAUUAGAAUUAAAGAGUCGGGUAGCUUGAGAAUGCUGCCUUAAUAUAGGUGGUACACCCCAUCUAAAGCUAAAUAUUGUAAAGAGACCGAUAGCAUACAAGUAGUGUGAACGAAAGAUGAAAAGAACUCCUAAACGGAGAAUUAAAAGCGCCUGAACUUGUCUAGGUUUUCGCAUUUCUUUAAUGCGCCCGUCUUGAAACACGGAUUAGGGAGUUUUACUUAAAUACGAGUCUUUAACUUUUAAAGUAAUUUUUUUAAAAAAGGCGAAAAGAAAUUAACUGGUUUUUUAACAUGGCUAUAGAGUAUUUAAGUCAAAACCCGAAUGGAGGUGAACUAUUCCUGCAAAGAUUGAAGUCAGGGGAAACUCUGAUGGAAGAUCGUUGGCGUUAUUGAUGUGCAAAUCAUUUGCUUUAUGUAGGUAUAGGUGCGAAAGACUCAUCGAACCUCCUAAUAGCUGGUUUCCUCCGAAGUUUCCCUCAGGAUAGCUGUAACAUUUUUAAAUAGUUAAGGAUAGUAGAGAAAUGGGUAGAGGUGUAGUGGAACUACGGUUCUGCAACUUAUUUCCAAACUUCGAACGUUCUUGAUAUAAAAAAUUACCUAAUAGGAAUUUUUUAUUUAAAUAUAUGUUAUAAGUGGGCUCUGACCGGUAAGCGGUCAUGGCGAAAAGGGAUGAACCUAACGUAUAAAUAAGGUGCCUAAAUUUACUAACAAUGAAACCAUUAAAAGAGUCCAUGUAUUUAGACAGCGGGUCGGUGCCCCUAAAAGCAGGUAUCCGUUAAUGAGUGUGUUAAAACUCCCCCGCCGAAUACUCUGGCCUUGAAAAUGAAUGGCGCAUAUAGUAAUACCGAUAUUAUACAUUAAAAUUAUUUCAAAAUUUUAAAAGUAGGGGGAUGUGGAUAUCUUAGAGAAUUUUUAAUUGUAAAAUUGAAUUGAAAGAUAUCUAUUACAGAUCCUAAUUGAAGUAGCGAUUAUCCAGGUUAAUCUCCUGGGGGCUGAUGAGGAGUAGGGUUUCUGGGCAACUUAAACGGACCCAGAGUUAGUCGAUCCUAAUCAAAUUAAAUUUAGAGAAAGGGAAUAUGAAUGAUAUUUCAUAACUAAAAUUAAUUUUUAAAUGGUGACAUUUUUUUAAACUUAUUUCCAUCAAUUAAAUACUGUUUAAUAGGGAUUUCUUUCCUAUAUAACUUUUUAAUUAAAACUUAAGAAACAGGUUAACUGGAGAAUAAAGUUUUAAUUUAGUAAAAUUAUAAUUUCGAUUAUAAUAACGGCUAUUUAAAUGAUCCAUGAAACGAUAAGUUUAUUUUUUCAAAAAUUAAUUUAAUCGUACCGAUAACCGCAUCAGGUCUCCAAGGUGAGUAGCUUCUGGCCAUUGAGUAAUGGUAAUUUAGGGAAUUCGGCCAAUUAGAGCUGUAACUUCGGGAUAAAGCUUGGCUCUGAUGGAAAUCAGAACCGAUAGUUACAAGGAGAGCCCAACUGUUUAAUAAAAACUUAGUGUCGCGUCAUACCUUUAUAAGUAAUAAACGUGACAUGAAUCCUGCUCAGUGCUGUGUUUGUUAAACUGGAUUAAUCCAUUUAAGCGCCGGUAAAUAGCUGGGGUAACUAUGACUCUUAUCAAAGUAGCGAAAUACCUCGUCACUUAAUUAGUGACCUGCAUGAACGGAGCUAUGAGGUUCUCACUGUCCCAAAUUAUCACUCAGCGAACCAACAGUUGUGGGAACGGGCACAAAUUAUCCAGCGGGGAAAGAAGACCCUGUAGAGCUUCACUUUGGUCUAAUCUUGUAUAGUUUCGUUAGGGGUGCAGUCUAGGUGGGAGAUUUUUAAUCAAAUAUGAGAAACCACUACCCUUUCUGGAAUUAUACUUACUAAAAUUCUUUUCUAAAUUUUAGGAUCGGAUUAGAUAGAAAGUUUGGCUGGGGCGGCACACCUUCGAAAAAGCAGCGAAGGUGUCCUAAGUUAAGCUCAGUAAGGACAGAAAUCUUACGUUGAGGAUAAGGCCAAAAGCUUAAUUUACUGUGCCUUUUUGUACUAGGAUCAGUUUGGAAACAAAGGCCUAACGAUCCCUAAUUAGUCUUAGGUGUGUAAGACUUGGGGUGACAGACAAGUUACCUCCGGGACAACUGGCUUGUGGCUGCUAAGAGAUCAAAUCAACGCAGCUUUUUGAGAUCGGAAGAGC
rnacentral:rRNA from 1 species